GACGAACGCUGGCGGCGUGCCUAAUACAUGCAAGUAGAACGCUGAAGGAGGAGCUUGCUUCUCUGGAUGAGUUGCGAACGGGUGAGUAACGCGUAGGUAACCUGCCUGGUAGCGGGGGAUAACUAUUGGAAACGAUAGCUAAUACCGCAUAAUAGUAGAUGUUGCAUGACAUUUGCUUAAAAGGUGCAAUUGCAUCACUACCAGAUGGACCUGCGUUGUAUUAGCUAGUUGGUGGGGUAACGGCUCACCAAGGCGACGAUACAUAGCCGACCUGAGAGGGUGAUCGGCCACACUGGGACUGAGACACGGCCCAGACUCCUACGGGAGGCAGCAGUAGGGAAUCUUCGGCAAUGGACGGAAGUCUGACCGAGCAACGCCGCGUGAGUGAAGAAGGUUUUCGGAUCGUAAAGCUCUGUUGUAAGAGAAGAACGAGUGUGAGAGUGGGAAGUUCACACUGUGACGGUAUCUUACCAGAAAGGGACGGCUAACUACGUG
rnacentral:rRNA from 1 species